rnacentral:lncRNA from 1 species
GAUUCAUCCCCGGCCAGGCGAGUGGAAAAGUACCAGCCGAGCGAGAGGGGCGGGGGCGCGCCAAGGGGCGGAAAAGUACAGACAGCGAAGCCGCGAAGAACAAAGAUGGUCCCACCGCGGCGAUGUGCCCGCAGAGGCCCGUGCCCUCCGGACCCUCUCCAACGGAUUUUGGUACUGCACCCUCUCCAUUAUCCCAAGUGUGAGGAGUGGGGUGCAAGGGGGCUGUUUUGCUUUUCCUCCAGCGUCUCUGGUCGUGCACAGGCACGCCGGGCAUUGGUUAGGUGUGCGCGCACCCCAGGCGCACAGCUCCCCGUUUCUAGGAUUUGCAACAGCAGUGCGCGUAAUCCGUCCUUUCGUGCCCACGGUCCCCACACGGGGAAUUGCCUCUGCGGCACAUAGCGGACUCGAAGAGGGCAUAAAGGGCUGACAGGAGUCCUCUCUCGAGAAGGGGAGAACACCCGUUCCCCAGCAAGCAGAGGCGGCGAGGGUUUGUUUACACGCGCACGCCCGUGCCCUCGAGCACACUCGUCUACAGGCAUUUGGCUCGCGAGCGCUUCGCCCGGCUGGCCCCUCCUAUGCCCGGAAAGGAAACUGAUGCAAUAUCGAUCGCCGAUUAUCAAAUGUUCCUGGCCCGUCUUCCCCAACCGUGGCCUCUGUAUACCAGAAGCCCGAACCCACCUCCGCUGCGCCCAAAUUCCAGGACCCCUCGAUUUUAUUUUUUUAUUAAUGCAAAUCAGUCACAAGACUUGCCGCAGCGGGGCCGCGGGCCGGGCUGGUUCCCCUCCCCCUAACGGGAGGAUGCGGCUCCCCUCCCGGCGGGCACGCGGCCCCCGCGCCGCGCCCCUCCCCCGUCCGGAGGAGGGCGGCGACCCCCUUACGGGCCGGGGUCGAAGAUGGGCCCCGCCGACCACAAACGCCAGUCCUGGGAGGAAACGACCCCCGCAGCUGCCUUCCAGCCGCGGCCCCUCCCGGACGCCCCUCCCCCACUCCCGCUUGGGCCCGCGCCCUUUGCACAGACGCCCCCGCGCGCGUUACCUCGGUGGUCUCGGCUCUCGUAUCCCGGAGACGUCACGAAAACGCCUUCAGUGGGGUUUUCUCAGCUAAACAAAAAUCGCAAAACAAAAACAAAACCAAAAAAAAAAACCCCAACAAUAGGCAGGAAAAAUAAUUUUAGCAAAAAAAAGGAAAUGGCAAAUUGCCGCCCCAAUCGUCUGGCGUCCGCCGUCUCAAGGGAAAGGCUCGAGUGUACGGGAACGCGUGGUUCGGCUGCCAGCGGUGCUGUGGGUAAAGUGCUCCAGGACGGCGGCGUCGCACGACUCUGAAGCUGCCCGCCGAGCAGCGGGUUAUAGCGGCCNCGGCCGCCCAGGAGGACGCGUUAGGGGGCGGGGCCGCAGCCGCCGGGGUGCUGUCUCUUUGUAUAUCAACACCACCUGGGCUCCGCCCCCGGCCCGCCCGGGCCCGCAGGCCCCGCCCCGUCCCACCCCUCUACCCGCGGCCCAGUCGGGGCCGUAGCUCCGCCCGCUGGCGCCCCCCGCCCUCCGGAGAGCCAAACCCCACUCUCUCCGGUCUCCUAGUCAGCCCGGAAAGACCCCCCAUGCUCAUCUUGGCCUGUUCAUGUCAACCUCGAUAUGUGCCCAACACAUGCGGUUGUCUUUAAGGAGCCUUCUGCUUCAUUUCCCUUCCGUCCGAGUUACCAGCAGUCUUUGCUUUCUCCUCCAGGCUUUUUGGGGACACAUCCCGCCCACCCAACUCUCUCCUGCCUGUUAUUUUGUGAUUUACUUGGGGUUUUUCUCUCGCAAACUUGGACUAACGCAGCAACGUUGUCUCCAUGGUCGAUUUCUGUUCUUGUUCUUUCUUCUCCGUCUAGACCUGCUUUCACUCUUCAAAACUAGCCUGGUGGGGCCAGCUCCAUGUCGGUCUAUCCUUUUUGUAUCAACGUGGAAAACCCUAGUAGGGGAAAAACUACAUGCCGACCAGCAAGCCAGAGACCCUUUGAAAGGGGAUCCCAGAUGGGCCUCCGGGGUGGGGGAACCGCUCUUCUGAGAAGGUGUAGGAGUUCCCAGUUUUCCUUUCGCAGACACAUUUCACUCAUUCCACCACCCCCAGGCCCAAUUUGAGAGCACUUCUCACCUCGCCUUUCUUCCCUCGUAUUUACAAAGGCGCUGCCUCCACUGGAAUGCUAGUCUGGAAGACUUUCUCCCGACUGAGCCCGUCCUUCCCUUCCAGUGGUGAUGUGGUCUUGCUGAGCCAGGCAACUAGGGGGCCCCUUCGCUGCGGAAUACUCUGUGCUGCCGAAAGGCAAGAGUCCAUCCCUUGCUGGAAACAAAGGCCCCUUAGGAGAAAUGCUUGCUGAAUGAAUGAAUAAACAAACGAGUUUGACCUA